rnacentral:lncRNA from 1 species
GAAUGAGAAAUCAAGAAUUCCAUAAAUUUUUUUCAGAAUUUCUUCAUUACAAAGCACGUUUAACAUGGUAUCAGAGCAAAUCUCAAUUUUUUCUCUUCGUACUCAUAUUCUGUUUUCCGCAUUCUGAACUUGUACAGUUAGCUCCAUGGCAAUGAAUCCAGACUCAAUCACCGUCUUCACCACAGCUCCCCAGCCAAUAAUUCCUGCAUCACAAAUCGUUGUUCAGCAAGAUAAUUCUGCCUUCGCAACUGGGGUUAUAUUGGAUGAGAAUAACUACCCAUUAUUGUCUCAACUCAUGGAGAUGUAGAUUGGUGCUCGUAACAAGGAUGGGUAUCUCACCGGAAAGAUAGUGAAACCUUCACCUGGAGAUCCACAGCUGGAGAUUUGGAUUACUGAAAACCAUAGAGUCAAGAGCUACUUUAUUAAUGCAAUGAGUCCAUCAUUGAUGCAGUGAUUUAUUCGCCUUUCCAUAGCAAAGGAAAUAUGGAGGCAGUGGCUCGAACAUUCUAUGACAGAUCAGAUGAAACCUGCCUUUUUGAAUUGCACCAGAGAUCUUUUUCUACCAAGCAAAUUGGCCCCCCACUCUCAACAUAUUAUAAUGAACUUGUUGCUAUUUUUCAGGAUAUUGAUCAUGGAACUACUUCUCAAGAGGGAACCGUUGAAGGAAUUGUUCUAUUGCACUUAGCUAUGGCUAGACUUCGAGUUUAUAUCUUUCUCAGUAGACUCGACUCUGAAUAGACACAGGUGCGUGGAGAAAUCUUGCAGAAGGAUUCAAAACUUGAUCUUGAGAGUGCUUAUGCCUAUGUUCGGAGGGAAUUUCAGAAUCGCAAAGGAUUUCCAGGGGGUCCGUCAAAGAAUAACUUCAGACAACCUUCUAAAGGGCCGGUAUGUACACAUUGUGGUGAAACUGGCCAUUCAAAUCAAAAGUGCUAUGAGAACAUAGGCUAUCCUGAAUGGUGAGAUUUUACAAACAAACCUUAGAAAAAUACUGCUAGGAAAGCUAUGAUAUCAUCCACGGCAGAGGAAUCGAUAUAGCCCAUGGCAAAUACGAUUGUUUUCCGCCUAAG